GUCUAUGGCCAUGCCACCCUGAACAAGCCCGAUCCUGUCUGAUCUUGGAAGCUAAGCAGGGUCGGGCCUGGUUAGUACUUGGAUGCUUGGAUGAGAGACCACCUAGGAAGACCAGGUGCUGUAGGCA
rnacentral:rRNA from 1 species